GGCAUAUUUACUUCCUAAAAAUAUUUCAGAUUUUAUUUUCUAAAGUUUGUGCUCAUUUUAAAUUGCAAAUCAGCAGAUGGACGACUCAUGUAGUGAACAUCGUUAUAGAAAGAAAAUGGAAGGGAAGCUAGGAAUAGUACAUUUUCAGAAACAAUGUAAACAAUGGUUCGACAUCUUCAAAUGUAAAAACAUCUUAAAAUACUAGUUUCGUUUUAAAAAAUUGUAAAAGAUAAUGGUGAAGAAAUAUUAGAUCUAUAUUAUUUUAUGUUUAUUAGUUGAAGUGAAAAUGUAAAAAGGAAAAUAUGGGAAUUAAACUGACCCUUAGAGCUUGUUUGGUUAUUGAAAAUGUUCUGUUUUUAUUUUUAAUUAAAAAGUAUUAUGGUUUUACCUGGGACUUUUAAAAUUCUGUAUUGGAAACCAUCAAAAUAUAUUCAUUGUUUCCUAUAUUAAAUUUUGAAAACAGGAAAAAAGUGACGUUUUUUUUGCAAUGAAAAGCAAAAACAGAGAAUAAUUUUGCAGGCCAAACAGAUCCUAAAGUUCAUGGAACUUGGUGUACAUCUCUAUUAGCUUAUUUUGAAAAAAAUUCGCAGCUUUGAGCUUUCUAAAAGAGCUUUUGAAAUUGAAAUUAAAAAAAAAAUAUUUUCUGCAUAUGUACUUUGAAUGAAU
rnacentral:lncRNA from 1 species